rnacentral:rRNA from 1 species
UACGUAGGGUGCAAGCGUUGUCCGGAUUUAUUGGGCGUAAAGAGCUCGUAGGCGGUUUGUCGCGUCGGAUGUGAAAACCCAAUGGCUUAACCUUGGGCCUGCAUUCGAUACGGGCAAACUAGAGUGUGGUAGGGGAGACUGGAACUCCUGGUGUAGCGGUGGAAUGCGCAGAUAUCAGGAAGAACACCGAUGGCGAAGGCAGGUCUCUGGGCCAUAACUGACGCUGAGGAGCGAAAGCGUGGGGAGCGAACAGG